rnacentral:rRNA from 1 species
GACGAACGCUGGCGGCGUGCUUAACACAUGCAAGUCGAACGGAAAGGCCCUGCUUUUGUGGGGUGCUCGAGUGGCGAGCGGGUGAGUAACACGUGAGUAACCUGCCCUUGACUUUGGGAUAACUUCAGGAAACUGGGGCUAAUACCGGAUAGGAGCUCCGGCGGCAUGGUGGGGGUUGGAAAGUUUCGGCGGUUGGGGAUGGACUCGCGGCUUAUCAGCUUGUUGGUGGGGUAGUGGCUUACCAAGGCUUUGACGGGUAGCCGGCCUGAGAGGGUGACCGGCCACAUUGGGACUGAGAUACGGCCCAGACUCCUACGGGAGGCAGCAGUGGGGAAUAUUGCACAAUGGGCGGAAGCCUGAUGCAGCAACGCCGCGUGCGGGAUGACGGCCUUCGGGUUGUAAACCGCUUUCGCCUGUGACGAAGCGUGAGUGACGGUAAUGGGUAAAGAAGCACCGGCUAACUACGUG